AAGAGAAAUCAUAUCAAGAAAUUUUUCUUCCGGUAUCCAACUCAUGAAAAUCUUUCUUGGAAUCAAGGAUGACUGCUGUUGUUGCCUUUUAAUUGAUAUUGAAGUAGAUCUAUGAACUUAUUUUGAGUGUUGUUAUUGACUUGUAGUUGAUAUUGAAGUGGACUAGUGAACUUACUUAUUUUGAGUGCUUUAAGUGUAGUUGAUAUUGAAGUGAAGUUUUGAACUUAUUUUGGACUUUUGAAUGUUUAAAAAUUUGUAUUAUUUAUUUAUGGAUAAAACAGUAAGUGUA